CAGGUGGAUGCCGAAAAGCCUCAGAAAAGAGUAGGUG
rnacentral:ncRNA from 1 species